UACGUAGGGUGCGAGCGUUAAUCGGAAUUACUGGGCGUAAAGCGCGCGCAGGCGGCCCUGUGCGCUGCCGGUGAAAGCUCCCGGCUUACCUGGGAGAGGUUCGGCAGGACGGCAGGGCUGGAGGGUGGGAGAGGUCGGUGGAAUUCCCGGUGUAGUGGUGAAAUGCGUAGAGAUCCGGAGGAACACCGACGGCGCAGGCAGCGUCCUGGCCGCUUGCUGACACUGAGGCACGAAAGCUGGGGGAGCAAACAGG
rnacentral:rRNA from 1 species